rnacentral:rRNA from 1 species
GAGUUUGAUCCUGGCUCAGGACGAACGCUGGCGGCGUGCCUAAUACAUGCAAGUCGAGCGCAGGAAACCAGAUGACCCGUUCGGGGUGAUUCUGGUGGAAUGAGCGGCGGACGGGUGAGUAACACGUGGGCAACCUGCCUGUAAGACUGGGAUAACUUCGGGAAACCGGAGCUAAUACCGGAUAGUAUUUCCUUUCUCCUGAUUGGAAAUGGAAAGACGGUUUCGGCUGUCACUUACAGAUGGGCCCGCGGUGCAUUAGCUAGUUGGUGGGGUAAUGGCCCACCAAGGCGACGAUGCAUAGCCGACCUGAGAGGGUGAUCGGCCACACUGGGACUGAGACACGGCCCAGACUCCUACGGGAGGCAGCAGUAGGGAAUCUUCCGCAAUGGACGAAAGUCUGACGGAGCAACGCCGCGUGAGCGAUGAAGGCCUUCGGGUCGUAAAGCUCUGUUGUUAGGGAAGAACAAGUACGAGAGUAACUGCUCGUACCUUGACGGUACCUAACCAGAAAGCCCCGGCUAACUACGUGCCAGCAGCCGCGGUAAUACGUAGGGGGCAAGCGUUGUCCGGAAUUAUUGGGCGUAAAGGGCUCGUAGGCGGUUUCUUAAGUCUGAUGUGAAAGCCCACAGCUCAACUGUGGAGGGUCAUUGGAAACUGGGGAACUUGAGUGCAGAAGAGGAGAGUGGAAUUCCACGUGUAGCGGUGAAAUGCGUAGAUAUGUGGAGGAACACCAGUGGCGAAGGCGACUCUCUGGUCUGUAACUGACGCUGAGGAGCGAAAGCGUGGGGAGCAAACAGGAUUAGAUACCCUGGUAGUCCACGCCGUAAACGAUGAGUGCUAGGUGUUAGGGGGUUUCCGCCCCUUAGUGCUGAAGUUAACGCAUU